rnacentral:rRNA from 1 species
CUUUGUGGCUGUACUGACUUGUCUAAGCUUUAUUUCGGCAGAUCUUAGCAAGGCAAGACUGGGCCUGGUUAGUACUUGGAAGGGAGACCACUGGGAAUAUUGGGUGCCACAGUGG